CUUCAAACUGUGAUUAUAUCUCUGUCCUAUAGUUUUUAUGGGUUUUAAAAAGUUGAGUUCUUUUUCUCCUUUUUAGCUUGUUUUCAGAAUUUGAAAAACAGAGAUACAAAGAGAACUGUGGCAGCUGAAUUCUCUUUCAUGUAUGUCCAGUCCAGGUGAAGCCCAGCAUAAUGUACUGUAAUAUGUCUCUUCAGUUCUCUGAUACAAUGACCUGUGCAUCCUCUAAAUCCCCCACAGAAUGCUCAGGCACAGACUGAUUGAGGUGAGAAUGGACUUAAGUAUAUAUUGUUCUUUGUAGCUCUGAAGAAUUGGCACUUUUGCCAAAUGCAAGACGAUGUGGCUUGUAAUCUAUUGAGAUAUGAGUUCAAACUAGACCCUCCUAUACAUCAUAAGAAUAACUAAAGAUUUGUCUGGGCUGUUUUAUUUAUAUAUUUAUUUAUUUGCCUUUUUUCCUCUCUCUCUCUAUAUAUAUAUCUAAAGCAAAACCAAAAAAACUUUCUCACUAUUUCUGACAAUUUGCAGUUUCUCUAGCAAAAGCAGUGAUGAAAGCACCUCAGUGGAAGGAGCCUCUUGCUGUAGCUGGGAGCAUGCGGUAAAUUCCAACCAUUCUCUCAGGCUGAGUAUUGUCUGUUGGCUUUACGUUUUACCUAGAAUUUCCAGAAAGGGCAAUUUCAGACUACUCAAAGAAGAGUCCUUCAUGGAAAUACCAUAUGCUUCAGUACUCUGCUUUCCUGAAGGUUGGAA
rnacentral:lncRNA from 1 species